rnacentral:rRNA from 1 species
AGGACGAACGCUGGCGGCGUGCUUAACACAUGCAAGUCGAGCGAGGCUCCUCCUUCGGGAGGAUGCCCUAGCGGCGAACGGGUGAGUAACACGUGGGCAACCUGCCCCUAGCACUGGGAUAACCCCGGGAAACCGGGGCUAAUACCGGAUACGACUUCGGAAGGCAUCUUCUGAAGUGGAAAAGGUUACUGGCUAGGGAUGGGCCCGCGGCCUAUCAGCUUGUUGGUGGGGUAAUGGCCCACCAAGGCGACGACGGGUAGCCGGCCUGAGAGGGCGACCGGCCACACUGGGACUGAGACACGGCCCAGACUCCUACGGGAGGCAGCAGUGGGAAUAUUGCACAAUGGGCGAAAGCCUGAUGCAGCGACGCCGCGUGAGGGAUGACGGCCUUCGGUUGUAACCUCUUUCAGCAGGACGAAGCGAAAGUGACGGUACCUGCAGAAGAAGCGACCGGCCAACUACGUGCCAGCAGCCGC